GACGAACGCUGGCGGCGUGCCUAAUACAUUCAAGUAGGACGCAGUUGCGAACGGGUGAGUAACGCGUUGGUAACUACCUAUUCGUGGGGGUUAACUAUUUGAAACGAUAGCUAAUACCGCAUUCUAGUUCAUUUACCUUCGUUGUAUUAGCUAGUAGGUAGGGUAAUGGCCUACCUAGGCAACGAUACAUAGCCGACGUGGGAGGGUGGUCGGCCACACUGGGACUGAGACACGGCCCAGAAGCCUACGGGAGGCAGCAGUAGGGAAGUUUCGGCAAUGGGGGGAACCCUGACCGGGCAACGCCGCGUGAGUGAAGAAGGUUUUCGGAUCGUAAAGCUCUGUUGUUAAGGAAGCGGUACUUAACAAGAAAGGGACGGCUAACUACGUGCCAGCAGCCGCGGUAAUAC
rnacentral:rRNA from 1 species